GAACGCACAUUGCGCCCAUUAGUAUUCUAGUGGGCAUGCCUGUUCGAGCGUCAUUAAGUCCACUUAAGCCCUGCUUAGUGUUGGGAACCUACAGAAGCUACCCUGUAGCUACCCUGUAGUUCCUUAAAGACAGCGGCGGAGUUGUAGUACCCUCUGAGCUUAGUAAUUUUUUCUAGCUUUCGAGAUGCUACUGCUUCUGCCGUUAAACACCCUUCUUCUGAAUGGUUGACCUCGGAUCAGGUAGGAAUACCCGCUGAACUUAAG
rnacentral:misc_RNA from 1 species